rnacentral:rRNA from 1 species
AGAGUGAACGCUGGCGGUAGGCCUAACACAUGCAAGUCGAACGGCAGCACAGUAGGAGCUUGCUCUUACGGGUGGCGAGUGGCGGACGGGUGAGGAAUACAUCGGAAUCUACCUUUUGGUGGGGGAUAACGUAGGGAAACUUACGCUAAUACCGCAUACGCCCUUCGGGGGAAGCCGGGGACCAGCAAUGGCCUGGUGCUGAUAGAUGAGCCGAUGUCGGAUUAGCUAGUUGGUGAGGUAAUGGCUCACCAAGGCGACGAUCCGUAGCUGGUCUGAGAGGAUGAUCAGCCACACUGGUACUGGAGACACGGGUCCAAGACCUACCUACGGGGAGGCAGCGAGUGGGGAAUAGUUGGACAAGUGGGCGCGAAGCCGUGAUCCAGGCCACGUACCGGUACGUGGGUAGAAGGUAAGGUCCGUUUCGGGUUAGUAAAACGGUCCC